GACGAACGCUGGCGGCGUGCUUAACACAUGCAAGUCGAACGGAAAGGCCCUGCUCUUGCUGGGCGCUCGAGUGGCGAACGGGUGAGUAACACGCGUGUAACCCGUACUUGUCUUUGGGAUAAAUCUUGGAAAAAGGGGCUAAUAUCGGAUAGGAGCUCUUGAUGCACGUGGGGGGAUGGUAAGAUUCGGCGGUUGGGGCUAGUCUCGCGGGUUAUCAGCUUGUUUGUGGGGUAGUGGCGUACAAAGCUUUUGAAGGGUAGGCGGCGUGGGAGGGUGACCAGCCACAUGAGGACUAAGAGACGGCCCAGACUGCUACGGGCGGCAGAAGUGGGGAAUAUUGCGCAAUGGGCGGAAGCCUGAUGCAGCAGCGCCGCGUGCGGAAUGACGGCCUUCGGGUGAUAAACCACUUUCGCCUGUGACGUGGCGUGAGUGACGGUAAUGGGUAAAAAAGCACCGGCUAACUACGUG
rnacentral:rRNA from 1 species